UUUCCGUAGGUGAACCUGCGGAAGGAUCAUUAUUGAAACUUCACGGGGCGACCCUCGGCCCCCGCUCCGGUGGAAACGCCGUGACGCGGGGCCGGUCGGGGCGUACCCAUCCACAUCCACCCCUGUGCACCUUUGCGGGACGGCUGGGUUCGCGCUCGGCCGUCUUCGUAUACAACAAACCCAACUUUAGAGUGACUUGGGCGGCUUUGCCCGCCUUGAUGAAAUGUAACAACUUUCAACAACGGAUCUCUUGGCUCUC
rnacentral:misc_RNA from 1 species